AGAGUUUGAUCCUGGCUCAGGACGAACGCUGGCGGCGCGCCUAACACAUGCAAGUCGAACGGGAGUCAAGAGGAGCUUGCUUUUCUUGACUUAGUGGCGAACGGGUGAGUAACGCGUGAGUAACCUGCCCUGGAGUGGGGGACGAACAGUUGGAAACGACUGCUAAUACCGCAUAAGCCCACGAUCCGGCAUCGGAUUGAGGGAAAAGGAUUUAUUCGCUUCAGGAUGGACUCGCGUCCAAUUAGCUAGUUGGUGAGGUAACGGCCGACCAAGGCGACGAUUGGUAGCCGGACGUGAGAGGUUGAACGGCCACAUUGGGACUGAGACACGGCCCAGACUCCUACGGGAGGCA
rnacentral:rRNA from 1 species